GAUGAACGCUGGCGGCGUGCCUAAUACAUGCAAGUCGAGCGAACGGACGAGAAGCUUGCUUUUCUGAUGUUAGCGGCGGACGGGUGAGUAACACGUGGAUAACCUACCUAUAAGACUGGGAUAACUUCGGGAAACCGGAGCUAAUACCGGAUAAUAUUUUGAACCGCAUGGUUAAAAAGUGAAAGAGGGUCUUGCUGUCACUUAUAGAUGGAUCCGCGCUGCAUUAGCUAGUUGGUAAGGUAACGGCUUACCAAGGCAACGAUGCAUAGCCGACCUGAGAGGGUGAUCGGCCACACUGGAACUGAGACACGGUCCAGACUCCUACGGGAGGCAGCAGUAGGGAAUCUUCCGCAAUGGGCGAAAGCCUGACGGAGCAACGCCGCGUGAGUGAUGAAGGUCUUCGGAUCGUAAAACUCUGUUAUUAGGGAAGAACAUAUGUGUAAGUAACUGUGCACAUCUUGACGGUACCUAAUCAGAAAGCCACGGCUAACUACGUG
rnacentral:rRNA from 1 species